UAGAGGCAGGUGGAGCUCUGUGAGUUCGAGGCCAGCCUGGUCUACACAAUGAGUUCAAGGCCAUCCAGAGCUAUAUAGUAAGACCCUGUCUUAAAAA
rnacentral:miRNA from 1 species